UACAGGGGGUGCAAACGUUGCUCGGAAUUAUUGGGCGUAAAGCGCGCGUAGGCGGUCUUCUAAGUCGGAUGUGAAAUCCCUUGGCUUAACUGAGGAAGUGCAUCCGAAACUGGAAGGCUUGAGUACGAAAGAGGAUCGCGGAAUUCCCGGUGUAGAGGUGAAAUUCGUAGAUAUCGGGAGGAACACCGGCGGCGAAGGCGGCGAUCUGGGUCGAGACUGACGCUGAGGCGCGAAAGCGUGGGGAGCAAACAGG
rnacentral:rRNA from 1 species